CCAGGAGCUCUGAGAACCCCUGUUCCAGUCAGGACCUCGUACCCUACCUCUGAAGUGGAUUCUUCCAGCUGUCCUGUUAUGGUUUCAAUCAAGAAUGUUUCCCAUAGGCUAGUGAUUUGUUUGUUUGCUUUUUUUUUUUUUUGUUUGUUUUUUGGUUUUUCGAGACAGGGUUUCUCUGUGUAGCUUUGGAGCCUAUCCUGGCACUUGCUCUGGAGAGCAGGCUGGCCUCAAACUCACAGAGAUCCACCUGCCUCUGACUCCCAAGUGCUGGGAUUAAAGGCCUGCGCCACCAACGCCCGGGGAAAGUGUACUUUCUACAAGCAAGAUGGAUUCUAUCUGCCAGUAAUGUUCGUGACUCUUCUUCCUCAGAAAAUGUCCAUCUCUCCAGAAAGACAUGCAGAAACAAUUAGGGGGAUAUUUAUACACAGUGGAUUUGCUCAUCCACUCCCCUCAUGUAUCUUCUGAAGGGAACAAGAAGCAGAAAGGGGACCUCAGGGGGUUCCGACCUAAAGGCAACACACUUCUAUGAAAGUUUUGAGAGGAUCUUCAGGGAGCAGUGCCUUUCUGAGAAGGUGAAUCACUUCAAGGCCUGUCUAAGGAAAUUCCACUCUCAGAAUGGCAACAAGUAGGCAAUAAGGUUAAUGAAAGAAAGGUGUGAUAGGUAAAAGCUCCUGCUUGCCGCAAAGCCUGAUGAUCUGAGUUCAAUCCCCAGAAAAGACUUCCAGAAGUUGUUCUUUAACAUCCUCAACAUUAGAUUAGAAGUAAAUCACAAGAAAAAGGGACGGGGUUCCUGGGGACCUAGCUCAGGCUUGAACCCUUGCUUAGCACACAGGAGGGUCUACAGGUUUGAUCCUAGGACUGCAGGGGAGAAAGAACAGAAUAUUAAAAUCACAUUUUUAAGUCUUUUGGCAACAAGGAGAAAGGAUUCUGAUUUAUACUGUGAACACGUCCUUCUCGUGGUUAGCAAUCUCCUCGACUUGCAUUCUGUGGAAUUCCAAUGCUGUUUGCUGGUAACUGGACAAAGACAAAUGACAAAGGAAACAAGUUUGUCUUCAGAAACUGUUGGACUCAAUGUCUUUCUUGGCACAUGAUGGGAACAUUAGGUAAUGCAUGGAUACAUUAAAGUGGUUUCAUUUUCAAGCAAACACCACAACUUCAAGAGGAGACAGAUUAAUCGC
rnacentral:lncRNA from 1 species